rnacentral:tRNA from 1 species
UCCCCGGGAGCGCCACCGGGAGCCUUGUCCGCCGCCUCCGGACGCGGGGUGUUCCCCGUACGCUCGGCGUUCCGCUCGCCGCCGAAGGCC